CGCGUCCCCCCCCCCCGCU
rnacentral:rRNA from 1 species